rnacentral:rRNA from 1 species
AGAGUUUGAUCAUGGCUCAGAACGAACGCUGGCGGCAUGCCUAACACAUGCAAGUCGAACGAGACCUUCGGGUCUAGUGGCGCACGGGUGCGUAACGCGUGGGAAUCUGCCCUUGGGUUCGGAAUAACAGCGAGAAAUUGCUGCUAAUACCGGAUGAUGACGUAAGUCCAAAGAUUUAUCGCCCAAGGAUGAGCCCGCGUAGGAUUAGCUAGUUGGUGAGGUAAAGGCUCACCAAGGCGACGAUCCUUAGCUGGUCUGGAGAGGAUGAUCAGCCACACUGGGACUGAGACACGGCCCAGACUCCUACGGGAGGCAGCAGUGGGGAAUAUUGGACAAUGGGCGAAAGCCUGAUCCAGCAAUGCCGCGUGAGUGAUGAAGGCCUUAGGGUUGUAAAGCUCUUUUACCCGGGAUGAUAAUGACAGUACCGGGAGAAUAAGCUCCGGCUAACUCCGUG